UACGGGGGGGGCAAGCGUUGUUCGGAAUUACUGGGCGUAAAGAGCUCGUAGGUGGUUUGUCGCGUUGUCCGUGAAAACUCACAGCUUAACUGUGGGCGUGCGGGCGAUACGGGCAGACUGGAGUACUGCAGGGGAGACUGGAAUUCCUGGUGUAGCGGUGGAAUGCGCAGAUAUCAGGAGGAACACCGGUGGCGAAGGCGGGUCUCUGGGCAGUAACUGACGCUGAGGAGCGAAAGCGUGGGUAGCAAACAGG
rnacentral:rRNA from 1 species